rnacentral:piRNA from 1 species
UAAAUCCAAAGAAGCGGAUUUGCUUAGAC